UAAAAGGCAAAAGGCCAAAGCCUUGGACGAAAAACAGAACGCUAGUUCUGUUGCUUACGAAACAGAGAGCCACGAAGCUACUUACUCACGCAGGCAACGAAAAAUCCUAGGGUUCUUUACAAAUCACUAAUUCUUGAACUCAGGUAUAUAAAAUUCCCUAUUAUCAAUUAUCCUAAAGUAGUAGUAGGUAAGAAUAGAAUAGUUAAUUUCCUUCUUCCUCUAUAUUAACAGUAAAUUCCAUGUUUAGGUGUGAAACUUUAAAAUUAAUUAAAAUAUACUGGUUGUUGUGGAAUCAAUUAUUUGACGGGUAUAAAUUGGACUGGGAUCUACGUAUUGGCUCGAGAAGUUUUGAGGUGAGUUGAUACCACCCUUUACUAAAGUGGUUUAACUCACAAAAGCAUGCAUACAAGGUGUUUGAUGAAUUGCUUAAAAGAGUUUAUAUUUACUUAAUUGGAAUGAGUGAGUACAUAUUAACUUAGAAUUGUUCUAGCAAAAGUUUAGAUGAUUUAUUAUGAUAUAUGUGAAAAAAAGUUUAGAUUUUGGUAUUAUUCUUAUAUGCUAUUUUCAUGUUGAAAAUUUAUGAAUAAGCAAGAAUCUUUAGAAAUACUUUUAGAUGUUUAUUUCUUUCUUAUGUCAUGCUUUACAUUUAAGGAUACCAGCAUGAACAUGUACAUGAUGUUCCAAAAAGAAAAAAUUUAGACUUGAAAAGUCACAAGAGAAGUUUUAGAAAGAAAAGAUUUUUGGGAGUAUCCUUUACUCUGAGACGGGGUCAUCGUCCAGGCCGAGGGUCCUGACCAAGGCAUUGACUUCCUGAAACUACUUGUGCCAAAGUAGGGAGCACACGAGCUGAUGGUCUCGUUGCUGAGAAUUUACUUAGCCAUGCUAAGGUAUGAUACAUGAGCGCUGAGAACCUUGAAGCGAGUGGCACCUCGUGGAUUGGGCCUAUUCGAUCAGGUUGGGAUCGAACCCGUGCCGAUCACACGGUGACCGAGACAGAAUUAAGUCAGGAUAGUUGGAACUUCCAAAGUAUAAAGAGAAGUAAUUUUUUUAAGAAAAAGAAAAGAAUUUCUUUUAAAAUAUUCAUAAACUACUAUUAUGCAAUUAUUUUAGAAUUGUUCUUAGAGGCUUUAUGUUUUCUAUGCAUUUAGAUUAUUUGCUCGUAAUGUGUAUUGUAUUUAAGUUUCGUCCCCUAUCGUUGAGACUCACUGAGUACAAUGGAUGGUAUUGACGUUCUUUUUUGGAAACCUACAUUGGUCUGCGGUACAACGUAGGAACCGGUUUUGCAGGCGAGCAUGCUACAAUUUAGGACUUCCCUCCCUUCCAGUGCUAUUGGUGAGCUCUGCUUUUGUUUGUGGAGUAUUCCUUAGAGUCAUUAUUAUUUAGCUAUUUCUUUGUUUACAACUGACCAGGAAAUCUCAUGUCCUGAGCAGUGCGUCAGUUUAUCAGUAGAGGCUUCAUAGACACAGUCGGUAGGUUAAGAUUCAGAUGUUUUUUAUAACAACUUAGCAGUAUUUCAUUGGUUACUAAAUAAAGUUUUGAAGUUGGCUUGUUUUAGAUAUUUAAAUUAGUUGAAGGUAUUUGGUUACAAUAGUGCCUUGUGGCAUAUAAAGUUUGGAGUUAUAAUAGAUUUGAUAAGCGCAGAUGGUUCGCUCGGUC
rnacentral:lncRNA from 1 species